CUGGCCUGGAUAGAGGACCUCAGUCCUCCCCUCCUAUGGACAACGCAGCUGCCCAGACGGUGGGCCAGAACUUGUCAUAAUGGGCUCAGGAGGAAGGGGCGGAGCCUGGCUGGGCUGGCCAGGAGGGUCACAAUAGGCCCAGAGAAAUGAAUGGGAGAGGCCAGCUGGAAGCUGCUCUGCUCUGCACUGCCUCCUCCUCUAGUCCUUGCUGCUGCUCACAGUUCCACCACCAAACCCUUAAAGAGCUGGUUGGGAUCUUAAAGAGGAAGAAACUGAGACUCAGAGAGGGGAAUGAAUAGAACUGGAUGGCAAAGCCCCAUGGGACUCAAAGUGUUGAGACUCCAGGUACCACUCCCUUACCAUCACCAUUACCAAAGAAUCUAUGGAAUGAAGCCAGACCUAUUUAUCUUGGGCAGAGCUAGCAACCCAAGGGCUUCUGUGACUCAGAUCACAUUUCCCCCCAGUAGAGCCCUUUGAAUAAAUCAGGGAUAAAAGUA